ensembl:snRNA U6 U6 spliceosomal RNA
GCACUCAGUUCCCCAGCAUGCAUACUAAAAUAUGGAGCGAUACAGAGAAGAUUAGUAUGGCCCCUGUACAAGGAUCCCAUGCAAAUCGAGAAGUGUCCUGUAUUUUU